UUUAGAUGGAAAGAGAUUUACACUAGGCAAUCGCUCCUUUUUCUUCUCCUCUCCUUGCAGCCAAACACCUUUUGCUUCUUUUCCUCCAUUUUUCUUUGCAGCCAAACACACCUUUUGCUUCUUUUCCUGCAAUUUCUUUUCCUCCAUUUUUCUUUGCAGCCAAACACACCUUUUCCUUCUUUCAUUUUCUUUUCCUCCUACCAAACAGCCCUAAGCGCCCAAUUCUUGAACAGCGACUGGCUCCCAGAAAUCCGCCGUGGAGGCAAUACGUGCGAUAAUCUGCCUGACUUCUGCCCGUUCUAAUUUGUGCUUUCAGAUUGUCUCCGUUCGUGGUGAUUUCGGUUCUUUUCCUUCUUUUGUUUGAGUUACAUUUGUUCAUGGGCCAAUAACGUUGUUUGGUCCAGAACUGAAGGAAUUUCUCCGGUUUGUUUGGGGAAUUCUCCACAAGGUUUCCCGUUUUCCUGAAUGUGCUUGUUUUUCUCUUCGUAGAUUUCAACGCUAGCUUCUCCUGAUUUCCUGUAAUAUUCACAUAAAUUUCAGUACAACCAGGAUUCUGGGAUUCUCCUUUGGUUAUGUCUCGUUUUCCCAAUUUCCAUGCAAUGUUGAGAAAAACUGGAAUCUCUGUCGUCUUCGUCCUUUCAUUUUCCUUUCUCAAUGUUGUUUUUCUCCCAAAAUGCAACAACCUCGACUGAGAAGUCUAAAUAGAUUUGCUGUGUUCAUUCUGGCAGGUUCAUUCCGAACAGAGGUGCCCUGGACCUCUACUUUCUCGGUACUUAAUGGAGGAUUCAAAGACGCAGAAGCCAUUGGUCAUUAGUUGUCCAUCCCAAGAAGCAUAUCAAAGGCGUCUUACGGAGCCAUGUCUGAAGAACCACACCAGGAUCCUUUCUUUUAGAAGCAUAUCUUCGGAAUCAGUGAAGACCCUCUUGAAGGAAGUCUGGUGUUGGUCUCCACAGCAAUUUUAGCUCCGUGAAGCCUCCCAGACGCAUUCUCGAUGCGUUGCUCAGACUGUAGAAAGAACUCUCGAUGCACCGACCUUCUGGAUGAUUUCUGUCUAAAUCUUCUCGACUGGAGCAGCAGCAACAUUGUAACAAUUGCUUUUGGGCAUUCCAUAUUUAUCUGGAAUGCAUCAGAUGGGACCGCAUCUAAGUUGAUGUCCAGAAUGGCUAUUUAUAAGCGCCAGUUGGGCUCCUCAUGCCGGCAUUUUGCUAUUGGUCUCAACAAUUAAGCAGUUCAAUCGUGGUAUGCAUCAGCAGCUAAACAGUUGAGAACUCUCCGUGGUCAUCAGUCAAGAGUUGGCUCACUUGCUUGCAAUAUUCAUAUUCUGGCAAGUGGUAGAAGAGAUAGUUUAAUCUUUAAUUGGCAAAUAUGGUGCCCAUGACUAAGAAGUUUGUGGACUGAACUGGUCGAUUUCAAGCUGGCAAUUAGCCAUUGGUGCAGAUGAUGUCCUACUGCCAUAUGAUCGAGCAGCGGCAGCAAACCGCUGUGCUAGAACACAGUGGCUGCGUAUUGCAAUGUGGUUUCCUGUUUGUAAUUUCUCUUGGGCUUUUGUUGUUACCUCUCUUUUUAUUGAUGAAAUAACUAUUGAAGUAGGCGCUAAAAUUUCUGAAGAGAGAAGCCAAAGGACUGUUCUUUUUGUGGAAGCCUGCAUUAUCAAAACCAGUUCCAGAUUCAGUAGAUUCAGGUUGAUUUGAAUUGCAUCAGCAGCAAUCCUAUAUCACCUGACUUAGUUUUGUGUGUCUUCUUUUCCAAAUUUUUUAUUUGUUAUUGUCAUGCUUAGUGACUUCAAAUGCAUAUUUUGUAGUUCCGUAACAUGCUUAGGUAUCUCUUUUAGAUGUUCACUGCUCUAAUUCAAUGUUUAGGUAUUUAGUUUCAUGAUAUCAAUCGCCACAUUAAAUGUGGUUGAUCCGGUAUUUUUAUAACAUGUCUAGCAUAUAUUCUCUCAGAUAGUCAAGUUUUUCUUUGUGUUAUUUCUGUACAUUUUGCCUAUCAAUACAUUUUGUUUCUGUUAUUUCAGCACAUUUGGGUUUAUUUGUUUCAUGCUGUCAAUCUUAUUUUGCAGCCUUGUUGUGCCUUCUAGACUUGUUUUGCAGUAAGUUUAUUUCACCACAUAACUUUUGUAGGGACCUCUCUUUCAACAGCUUGACAGGACACUUGGUUAGGCUGAAAGCCUGAAAUGCCCUCUUGUUUUUCCUGUUGGAAGGAAGCAGCCUAAGUGAGUCCUUCCUUGUGGUUGUUGAUUGUUGUUUUAUCCUUAAGUUCGUUGCAGGUGUUUAGCUAGGUUCAUGAUAUGCUGAUGAGCUUUUGGGUACGAGAGUUGUGCAGUGCUCAUUUUUACAUUUAUUUUGUUAAUAGAACGGACUCCCAUCCAAAUGGAUUAGUACUGAAUGUUGAUUCCUGUUCCUUAUUAACCUAUGCUACCUUAUCAGGCAAUUUUUGUAUCUUCCUACACUACUCAAAUAGCUACUGCACAAUUUAAAGUUGAAGAAUUGAUGCCGAUGGUUCUAAUUGGCACAACUUCACCAGUAGGCACGUCAUUGUUCUUUUCAGACACUAUACACGCUAGAAAAUAGGGAUUUAGCAUUUUUAGCUGGAGUGUUAGUGCCAAAUCCCGCAUAAUAUGGGUCGUUGGGUCUGGCUAUGGUGAGAAUGCAGUUCAGUGCAUGUGGAGCGAUUGAUAGUAUCUUUGCAAAAAGAAACCAAAUAGAAGAGCUUUUCACCAAUCUGUCUUCUGUGGACUUGACAAGGCUCCCUGAAGGCCUCCUCUCUCUUUGCUGGUUGUUGAAGGAUCACCAAAGGUCCAAAGGUCUUUGCCUCAGAGAGAAACCUUUUCACUCUUUAACAGGUUUUUUGACUAGUGUUGCUGCCCUUAUGUCAACUGCGUCAUCUGCUAGCCGCAAUCAUAACGUUAUGUUGGAUUAGCAUUGUAAAGAACAGAAGUUACCUACAUUAUAUCUUCUGGAUUGCAUUGCAGAGAACAUUGAUGGUGACUAUAUUAGGUAGUUUGCUAGUAUAUUUGCAGUUAAUUUAUGAGCAGCUACUUGCAAAUGCGUUUAUUGGUGAGCUACUGACACUAACUUUAUUUGCUGGUUGUUUUGGUCAUUAUGUUUUAGCUUUAUUGGUGGGAUUUGUGCUUCGUCUAUGAGCUGCAUUAGCCCAUGGUUGUGGCAUGCACAAACACUUGUUGCUUGAGAAUUACAUCUUUCCGGCUUGCAUAUAUACUGCUGCGAUGGUAGCUUGUGGAUUCUUUGUAAGCUGUGACCAAAGAGUUAAAAUUUGUUGAUGUUUAUGGAGGUGGUGUGACUUGACAUUAAACAAUUACUUGUGCUUGGGCUGUUGGAGUGAGUGAAUGGUGAUUCUGGCUAACCAAAAAUCACUCAGUUCACUCAUAAGGUCCGUCAAACUAACGCUACAUGAUAAAAAUGCAUAUUACUUGUUUCCUUUCAACCGUUCAUCACAAUAGAUCAAACCAUGAUCUGGGCGACUCUUUCAAUUUUCCGUAGUUUUCUUAGCACUUUUUUUCAAAUGGUUACAAUUGUACUUUUCCUUCUCAGAACAAGUCCUACAUAUGUUCGUAUAUCAGAUGGGUUUUCAAGCGCUGGAUACUUGUCUAUCUUCCUUUUGUUUCUCCUGAUCCAUUUCUGCUGUUGCAAGAGUUCGCUUUGCUGCUUCCUUACCUUGCUCGACAGGUGAAGUUAAUUUGAUUGGCGGAGCAUAUUGAUUAUGAACGUUAUUCAGUCUUGCACAUGGACAGUAUAAUUGCUAUCCAGAAGCAUGACACCGGGCCAGCAACUAAAGUUCUUCGUAUAUCAAAGUAAAUCCGCAAAAGGGUGUUCUAUCAGAUUGAACUGAAGUGUAUCAUAAUUCACAGGUUUAUCAUGCAGGAUUGCUGGAAUUAUUUUUUUCUGCACGCAGUGGAAAAUGUUGUUUAAGAUCUACCCAUUUUUCUGAACUUCGAAAUUUUAACUUUUUUGUAAAUCUGAUGCUCACCUGAGGUAAUAUAACUGAUGUUUUAAUUUGCUCCAGCCUGUUACGUGCGCUUCUUGAUUGGUCGUUGUUGCAAGGUUAAUAAACGGAUUGUCCAUAUCAUAGUGUCGCAAAUUCAGAUGGCGAUCUCAUCUCCAUGGAACCAUGGGUACAUCACAAGAUUAUCAAAAGGCCAAGUUCCUUCCUACACCAGAAAGACAAUUAUGAUCAAGCUGGACACUGAGACUGCAGACGUCGUCGUCCUCAAACUGUGAUCAAGCGCAACAGCAGCGCUCCUGGCAUGAUAACCAAUGCCUCCACCCCUGAAACCUCUGCUGCCAAUGCCCAUGGCACCACCACGACCACCACCACCACCUUUUAAAUUCCUUCGUUUUACUUCUGCAAUUCCAGUAACACCACUCUCUGAACCCUGCAAAGAUGCUGAUCCAUCACAUUUAAUCAAUUAGCUCGUGAGUUCUAUACAGGAAACAAUAAAUGCAGUAAACUUCUAAUCGCUGUGCAAACAAUUCUGCAGCUCAAUUGAGGCAAACAGAGAACGGAAAUAAAGUACCAAAUUGAGAUGGCAAGCUGGGUAUGAGAAGCGUACCAAGUGGGAAAGCAGAGAUUUUGCGGGAGGACGCUGGUGUCGCUGCUGCAAGAGCAAGUUGGAGAAGAAGAAAGGAGACCAAGAAAGUGUUGAAGGCGCGUCGGGUUAUUGCCAUGGAUGGCAGUGCGUGUUUUGAGAGAGGGAGAGAGAGAGAGGGAAGCAGGGAAGGAGAGGUGAUAGCUUUGUGGAGAUUUCUUAGAAUUUUUCGAUUUAAGCGUGGAUUUGUUGCCGACGUAUAAUUGCAGUCUACAUAUAGUGGGGCGGUUGAAGCUUGCGCAUCGUUAGUCCUUUUCGGAUCUGCCUUUGAUAGAUCUGAUCGUACGUGGGUUUUAUGAAUUGGGCACGAAGAAAGAAAUUGAAUAUGAAUUUUCUAUAUUAUUUGUCUCCGGUGAGUUGGAUAUAAAGUUUUUGUAUGAUAAACUUUAAUGGUUUUUGUUGCAAUAGAAAAUCAUGAGUGGAAAAGAACCUUUGACAAGCA